AUGUCGCCAAAGUUUUUCCUCGUACAUUCGAAUUAAAACGUUUUCUGUCUUAUCGCUACACGUAAACUAUACGUAAAAUAUGCAGUUAGUGUCGACGGAGCGUGUUUUACGAAAUGUCAGACUUGUGGAUUGCGAAUUACAGAGACGCAGAAUCGUAUUACUCCACAACAUUUCACGUGAAAUGCAUGUACUCGUGUUCUUCGAUCGAGAGAGGAAAACCUCCGCACCUCCUUCCUCCUGGAGAGACGUAGACCAAGUCACCUAAUUUUCUCUUUAAAUUUGCGACCAAGUGCCCCACUCCCUGGGUCUAACCUCAUCCGAUCUCUUGGUAUCUGUUCCUGCACGUUCCAUGAUUCUAAGCCGACAAGCAGAACCUGAUUCACAGUGUCGUUGAUCAAGGAAUCUAUCGAAUUUUGCACGCUCAGCAGGCUUUCCUUGGCAUCGUCGAAUGCCUUUGGUCCACCAUUCUUCUUGCACUUGUCGAUUACGGCUUGCUUGA